rnacentral:rRNA from 1 species
AGCGAACGCUGGCGGUAGGCCUAACACAUGCAAGUCGAACGGCAGCACAGUAAGAGCUUGCUCUUACGGGUGGCGAGUGGCGGACGGGUGGGGAAUACAUCGGAAUCUACUUUUUCGUGGGGGAUAACGUAGGGAAACUUACGCUAAUACCGCAUACGACCUACGGGUGAAAGCAGGGGAUCUUCGGACCUUGCGCGAUUGAAUGAGCCGAUGACGGAUUAGCUAGUUGGCGGGGUAAAGGCCCACCAAGGCGACGAUCCGUAGCUGGUCUGAGAGGAUGGUCAGCCACACUGGAACUGAGACACGGUCCAGACUCCUACGGGAGGCAGCAGUGGGGAAUAUUGGACAAUGGGCGCAAGCCUGAUCCAGCCAUACCGCGUGGGUGAAGAAGGCCUUCGGGUUGUAAAGCCCUUUUGUUGGGAAAGAAAAGCAGCAGGUUAAUACCCCGCUGUUCUGACGGUACCCAAAGAAUAAGCACCGGCUAACUUCGUG